rnacentral:lncRNA from 1 species
UAAAGUCUUCAGCAUUACUUGUGAACUGUAUAGUGUGUGGUAUAGUGAGACACUGGCUCUUUUUCCCUUGGUAAAAAGAGGACAAUAUUGGGUGUCUGCUUUGGAAGUGAAAUGUCUUUACUCAAAUCACAGGUGUGCUCUGAGAAGGAAUGAGAGAGAGAGAAAGGAAAGGAAAUAACCUCAUCGCUUUCUAUGCCAAAUGCGGCCCAGCCCUGCUCAACCUGUUCUCAUUAUCUUAAUUCCCAGGAAUCUUUCUUGCAAAUCAGUCCAGGGAGUUCAUUUGUUUUUCACCAUAGAUAAAGUUGUUUGUUCAUUUGUUUAGGUCGUAGCUCAAGGAGAGUUGUAUGUCCUCUCUCUCUCUGCGUUUUCAGGCUGGAAUCAUUGACAGCAGCUAGAGUCUCAGGACAUGAAUGUCCACUGAAGCGAAUGUCUUGGAGGGGUUGGUAGAACGUUGUUUUGUUGAUGAAGAGAAGAAUAAUGUCUGUAUGUGGGAUGACGGGACCAGGGCUUGGUCUGUCUGUGUUCCUGUUGGCUCUGCUUCAUCUUCAAUGGUCAGCCCAGAAAAACUACACUACGCUACCAAAUAACAUAACAGUGACUGUUGGCAAGCCUGCUGCCUUCCAGUGUGGUGUGUCCCCUCCUCCUAGACAACUCAACUUCACCCUCUAUGGUAGCCAUGGAAACAGAACCCUUAUCUGCCCAGGAGACCACACUGAGUACCUUGCUGCCCAGUCAAUAAAAGGGUACUGUGAUAACACAGGUAAGGAGCUCUUUGCAAUAUGGCUUAUCAGUGGGACAUCCCGCUCUGACAACCACACACGUGUGGUAUGUGAGAGCUCAGGACGACCACUAGUGGAUGGAUACCUCUGGGUGUACGGUAAAUACACCUCUCUAAUAUACCUUCCCUGAGCGUAUGGUAUUUGACGUUGUCAUCAUUAGCUAACCCUAAUCUCUUUGUCUGUCUGUCUUUCCUGUCUAUCCUGUCUGUCUAUCCCGUCUGUCUCUCUAUCCUGUCUGUCUAUCCCGUCUGUCUCUCUAUCCUGUCUGUCUAUCCCGUCUGUCUCUCUAUCCUGUCUGUCUAUCCCGUCUGUCUCUCUAUCCUGUCUGUCUAUCCCGUCUGUCUCUCUAUCCUGUCUGUCUAUCCCGUCUGUCUCUCUAUCCUGUCUGUCUAUCCCGUCUGUCUCUCUAUCCUGUUUGUCUGUCUGUCCUCUUCGGAUACAUUUUCAGAGGACGGCAGUUACUUUGCCACCCUCAUUGGCUGCGUCAUUGGUGGUUUCUUUGGUAUCCUCAUCGUCUUUGGUCUGUCAUACACUGUGCUCAGGAGAUCUGAGAGGUUCCAGCUCUGUUUCAGUAAGUACCUCUCUCCUUCAGCCCUAACAGAGGAUGGACCAGAGAAUGAUGCAGCAUGACGUUCAUAUGGUUCUCUUUUCUGUGUUUGUGUCAACAGGGGGGAAAGAUCGUGAGGAUGACGUCACCACAAUGGUGACAAAGGAUUAAACACACACCUUGCAAUACUGUUGGAUUUACUUAUUCAACUUCUUAAAGGUGGCACUUUGUGUUUUUUUUUUGCAUAUGCAGAUUUUGAUUGUAAUUUCUAUUUUGUUUUACUGUUCUAUUAUUUGCUUAUCUAGCAGUAUGCAGUAUCUGAUACUGGCAUCAAUUUCUUGUGUUUUUAUCUUAUUAAAUGUAGCUAAACAUAGGAAAUUAAACAAAAUGUUGCAUUUUGAAAACUUCUUACAAAAGUCCCAUAUAUCAUAUUCUCACCCAUAAAAUUUUAGAUUUGUUUUGCCUUGGUUUGUUCAGUCGCAGUUCUACUAUUUGUCCAACAGAGAGCAGCCAUGACAGUACAGAAACUGAAGUUCAAUUAUGCUGGGAUACUACUAAAGCGUUUUUAAUAAUGUACUAUAAUUGUGCGUCUCUGACUUUUCCUCUACUCCGGAAUACUGAAGUUUAUGUUAAUUUUUUAUACUGCGCUUUAUAGCUCCAUUAAUUGUUUUACAGUUAUGCUGGCAGCCAGCUAACACCUGUUUUCACUGCAUAAACAAUAGAGAGCAGGACGUCUGAGUAGCUGUCUAAAGUGUUCCAGUGGAGGAUCAGUAGAGGUGGUGCGAUGUUGACUCAGCUGGCCUGCUAUGCUCUGGCAUGACUCUGACACGGACACAACUCACAUCACUUCAAAUCCCACAAUAUGCAUUGCUAAUUUGUUUAGAAUUACAUACAUUCUUUGAGAUGUAUUUAUAUUUUUAUGCAUGCUCCCCAUCUUCAGAGUGGCUUGUCAGAGGAUAUGGUCAAAUGCUCAAAGGCCCUUAGAUGGUUUGUUUAGUGACAAAUAUGCCUCCUAACAAGUAAGAGUACUGUACGUUUUGAGUGUUCCAGCACGAGCGUGCUUGUGUCAGUGCAUGCAGGCAUACUUACAUACCAUACUUUUGUUUAAGUCUAAGCUAUGCACCGGAGUUGUGUCAGUGCAUGCAGGCAUACUUACAUACCACACUUUUGUUUAAGUCUAAGCUAUGCACCGGAGCUGUGUCAGUGAUGAUGCAUUCAUAUUAUAUUAAUACAGUGUGUUCCAUUUGUAUUGGGGCAGUGAAACUUGUUGUUUUGGCUCUGUACACUUUGGAUUUAAAAUGAUUCAAUGACUAUGAUGUUAAAGUGCUGACUGUCAGCUUUAAUUUGAGGUUAUUUUCAUCCAUAUCGGGUGAACCGUUUAGAAAUGACAGCACUUUUUGUAAAUAGUCCCCCCAUUUGGACAAAUGCACUUAUGUGUAUUAAAGUAGUAGAAAGUUAAGUAUUUGGUCCCAUAUUCAUCGCACGCAAUGACUACAUCAAGCUUGUGACUGCAAAUUUGUUGAAUGCAUUUGUUGUUUGUUUUGGUUGUGUUUCAGAUUAUAUUGUGCCCAAUAUAAAUGAAUGGUCAAUAAUGUAUCGUGUCAUUUUGGAGUCACUUUAAUUGUAAAAUAAGAAUAAAAUAUGUUUCUAAACAUUUCUGCAUUAAUGUGGAUGCUACCAUGAUUACGGAUAAUCCUGAAUGAAUCGUGAAUAAUGAUGAAUGAGAAAGUUACAGACACAAUUCAUUAUUUACCAUUCCUAUGUAUUGGGCACAAAAUAAUCUGAAACACAACCAAAACAAACAGCAAAUGCAUUCAAUAAAUGUGUAGAGUCACAAGCUUGAUGUGGUCAUUGUGUGCGAUGACUAUGGGACCAAAUACUUAACUUUUUACUACUUUCAUACACAUACAAGUACAUUUGUCGUAAUACUUUUGGUGCCUUAAAAUGGGGGAACUAUGUAGAAAAAGUGCUGUAAUUUCUAAAUGGUUCACCCGAUUUGGAUAAAAAUAUCCUCAAAUUAAAUAUGACACUCUGCACGUCAACCUCACAGUCAUGAUAUAAUUUAAAAUCCAAAGUGCUGGGGUACAGAGCCAAAACAAACCAAAAAUAUGUCACUGUCUCAAUACUAUUUUAAAGAGAUGUUGUGCAAAGAAGAGAGCAGGGUUUUUGUGGAGGGAAUGUCUUAUGUGUGUGUUGUACCUGUGUGUCAGCUUUACCCUUUGGAUAGCCCACCCUGACUGUCUCUUGUGUGAGUCUACGACAACCCUUUCCCUGUGGCCACUGGUUCUGUAGACUAUGUAGCUGUGGUAUGUGUAAGGUACCCAAUUGUCAUACUUGAGUAAAAGUAAAGAUACCUUAAUAUGAAAGGACUCAAGUAAAAGUGAGUCACCCAGUAAAAUCCUACUUGAGUAAAAGUCUAAAAGUAUUUGGUUUUAAAUAUACUUAAGUAUCAAAAGUCAAUGUAAUCUCAAAAAUGUACUUAAGUAUCAAAAGUAAAAGUAUAAAUCAUUUCAAAUUCCUUUUAUAAAGCAAACCAGACGGCACUCAUAUUUUUAUUACAUGUUUGUUUUACAGAUAGCCAGGAGCGCCCUCUUACACUCAGACGUAAUUUACAAACAAAGUAUUUUUGUUUAGUUGUGUCACGCCCUGGUCAAAGUAUUUUGUGUUUAUCUUUAUGUAUUUGGUCAGGCCAGGGUGUGGCAUGGGGUUUUUGUAAUUGUGGUGUGUUUGUCUUGGGGUUUUGGUGGUGGUAUUGGGAUUGUAGCUUAGUGGGUUGUCUAGCAAGGUCUAUGGCUGUCUGGAGUGGUUCUCAAUCAGAGGCAGGUGCUUAUCGUUGU